UACGAAGGGGCUAGCGUUGCUCGGAAUCACUGGGCGUAAAGCGCACGUAGGCGGAUUGUUAAGUCAGGGGUGAAAUCCUGGAGCUCAACUCCAGAACUGCCUUUGAUACUGGCGAUCUCGAGUCCGGGAGAGGUGAGUGGAACUGCGAGUGUAGAGGUGAAAUUCGUAGAUAUUCGCAAGAACACCAGUGGCGAAGGCGGCUCACUGGCCCGGUACUGACGCUGAGGUGCGAAAGCGUGGGGAGCAAACAGGAGUU
rnacentral:rRNA from 1 species